GUGACCUAUUGCGGGAAGCAUAAAAUCCAGUAGUUGCUUCCAAGAAGAGCGAGAGGGACGUUGCUGCAGGAGCCAACUACUGAAGCCGUGGGUCGCCGUGCGAGAGUGUUUAAGUGUGAUUUAUCUGCGGAAUUGGACAUGUUGGAUGGCGAGCUAGAGCCUGAACUAGAGUCUGAAGCUUUAUGCCUGGAACCGAACCAACCGAACUGAAUCCACCCAACCGAGCCGGGCGGGUAGGAGGCUCCUCAGCAUCCAUCCAUCCAUCCAUCAUCCAUCAUCUUCCGCUUAUCCGAGGUCGGGUCGCGGGGGCAACAGCCUAAGCAGGGAAACCCAGACUUCCCUCUCCCCAGCCACUUCGUCUAGCUCUUCCCGGGGGAUCCCGAGGCGUUCCCAGGCCAGCCGGGAGACAUAGUCUUCCCAACGUGUCCUGGGUCUUCCCCGUGGCCUCCUACCGGUUGGACGUGCCCUAAACACCUCCCUAGGGAGGCGUUCGGGUGGCAUCCUGACCAGAUGCCCGAACCACCUCAUCUGGCUCCUCUCGAUGUGAAGGAGCAGCGGCUUUACUUUGAGUCCCUCCCGGAUGGCAGAGCUUCUCACCCUAUCUCUAAGGGAGAGCCCCGCCACACGGCGAAGGAAACUCAUUUCGGCGGAGGAAACUCAUUUCGGCCGCUCCUCAGCAGCCGCUCUGUUUUUUCCCUUUGGUUUUUCAUAACGCAACAAGUUCAUUUCUGUCCUCCCUGAACUUUCACAUUUACCCGUUACCUUCACUAAAACCCCUCUGGACACUGCCACCAUAACGUGGACUUUGCGAGGUCGUUUAAUGAACUGUCGUGUUGCGCCUAUACCAUUCUUGGUAAAAACAAGGGCUGAAUCAAGUACUGUAUCACAUUGUAAAUAUUGAACGUUCUGUAAUUUAUGUUGAAAAUCAAUCAAUCAAUCAAUGUUUAUUUAUAUAGCCCCAAAUCACAAAUGUCUCAAAGGACUGCACAAAUCAUUACGACUACAACAUCCUCGGAAGAACCCACAAAAGGGCAAGGAAAACUCACACCCAGUGGGCAGGGAGAAUUCACAUUCAGUGGGACGCCAGUGACAAUGCUGACUAUGAGAAACCUUGGAGAGGACCUCAGAUGUGGGCAUCCCCCCCCCCUCUAGGGGACCGAAAGCAAUGGAUGUCGAGCGGGUCUAACAUGAUACUGUGAAAGUUCAAAAUGUGAAAGGCCAUUCCAAUUUACAUGUCUUUUUGUUGUUGUUUAUUUUUCCUAUAAUUCUUUAAUAUAAUUUGGUACCAUUUCAACUUAAAACCUGUGUUCAGUCUGCAUUACUCUCCAUUCCUAGAGCUGAAUUUAGUUUCUUCUGAUCUAGCCCAGUUAUAUAAUUCAUUGUUUACUUAAUACUUGUACAGUGCUUUACUUAAGUAACGUACAGGCUACACAAGCGCACCUUCAUACAUACGUGUGCAAUGUCACAUGCCUCCGCGGAGCAGACAGGUAGCACCAUGGUAACGCUAGCUGUGGUACAGGUGGUAAUAACACGAGAGAGAGAGAGAGAGAGAGAAGGUGUGAAUCUGGAAACAAAUGAGGGAAUAAUUAAUUCCAAGAAAAACAGCACAUGGUCCAUUGUCUGGUGGUGGUUUGGCUUCAAGUGGGAAGAUGUUGAACAAUUAUGCAGCAAAAGUGUUGCUACAAAAAGUAGCAUCAUUUGAAAAGUCACCAACAGGGGUCAGCAACCUUUUUGAAACCAAGAGCUACUUCUUGGGUACUGACUAAUGCGAAGGGCUACCAGUUUGAUACACACUUAAAUAAAUUGCCAGAAAUAGCAAUUUGCUCAAUUUACCUUUAAUAAAUAAAUAUAUAUAUAUAUAUGGGUAUUUCUGUCUGUCAUUCCGUCUUACAUUUUUUUUUCCUUUUACGGAAGGUUUUUUGUAGAGAAUAAAUUAUGAAAAAAAAACACUUAAUUGAACGGUUUAAAAGAAAAGAAAACAGGAAGAAAAUGAAAAUUACACUUUAAAACAGUUCGUCUUUGAUUUGGACACUUUAAAAAUUCAACCGGAAAAAAAGAAGAGAAAAACUAGCUAAUUCGAAUUUUUUGAAAAAAUUUGAAAAAUAAUUUAUGAAACAUCAUUAGUAAUUUUUCCUGAUUAAGAUUAAUUUUAAAAUUUUGAUGACAUGUUUUAUCCAUCCAUCAUCUUCCGCUUAUCCGAGGUCGGGUCGCGGGGGCAACAGCCUAAGCAGGGAAACCCAGACUUCCCUCUCCCCAACCACUUCGUCUAGCUCUUCCCGGGGGACCCCGAGGCGUUCCCAGGCCAGCCGGGAGACAUAGUCUUCCCAACGUGUCCUGGGUCUUCCCCGUGGCCUCCUACCGGUUGGACGUGCCCUAAACACCUCCCUAGGGAGGCGUUCGGGUGGCAUCCUGACCAGAUGCCCGAACCACCUCAUCUGGCUCCUCUCCAUGUGAAGGAGCCGCGGCUUUACUUUGAGUUCCUCCCGGAUGGCAGAGCUUCUCACCC